GAUGAACGCUAGCGGCGGGCACAAUACAUGCAAGUCGAACGGGAUAAGUUGUAGCAAUACGACUUUGAGAGUGGCGCACGGGUGCGUAACACGUAUGCAACUUGCCCUUAACAGGGGGAUAGCUUUCGGAAACGAAAAUUAAUACCCCAUAUUAUUACUUAUAUGCAUGUAUGAGUAAUGAAAGCUCCGGCGGUUAAGGAUGGGCAUGCGGCUGAUUAGCUAGUUGGCGAGGUAAAGGCUCACCAAGGCGACGAUCAGUAGGGGGUCUGAGAGGAUGUCGCCCCACACUGGUACUGAGACACGGACCAGACUCCUACGGGAGGCAGCAGUAGGGAAUAUUGGUCAAUGGAGGCAACUUUGAACCAGCCACGCCGCGUGCAGGAUGAAGGCCCUCUGGGUUGUAAACUGCUUUUGUUAGGGAAAAAACCCCUCGAUGCGUUGAGGGUUGAUGGUACCUAAAGAAUAAGGAUCGGCUAACUCCGUGCCAGCCGCCGCGGUAAUAC
rnacentral:rRNA from 1 species